UGUUCUUGCAGGAGGUGCUUGGUUAUACUGAAAGUAAGAUUGUUCUUCUUCAGGAGAUUUUACUCUCAAAGUUACCAGCACGUCGACGAAGAAAACAUAGAGACAAAUAAAAGAUAGAUUUAAAGAACAAUAUAAGAAAAUCAAAGGGUCCAAUAUGUCUGUUCCACCACAGAGGUUGCCAUGAGACAAACUACAUCCGAAAUGAGGCAAGAGUGAAGUUACAGGAACACAACAAUUAAUAAUGAAGACAUGCCUGUUCUAUCGCUAAUGGAAUUUCCCUAAAGUACCUGUUUCGAGGAGUCAAGGUCUGGAAGUCUGCUUUCAUGAUGACAUUUGCUAUACUUGCCAUAAUGCUUUUGGUUACUGUGCCUGAAACUCACUCUGGCCGUCACUAUCAUGGAAGCUACUCUGACAGUGAUGAGAGGUUCUAUCUUGCCCCGAUCCCAACAUUUCACUGGUAUCAACCGAGGCCAGUGCCACCCCGACUUCAGUUCCCUCUCUGGCCCUUUUUCCCUGGGUUACUGCCCCAGCCGGCCCCUGCUCCUAUCCCAGCACCAAGGCCUGGACCAAGUCCGGGCCAGACCACCACUGCCCCUGCCACAACUAGUAAAAGGGGAGAUAACGGAUAAACAGGACCCAUCUCAGAACCGGACCAAUACCAACCCAAUGGAUCUUCUUUUGGACUAUAUGUUUUUAUACUAAAAUCACAAUGGUACAUUCAAUAACAACAUAUUAUACUUUAUUCAUAAAAUAUUCUGGGUGAAAUGGUGUAUAUUUUGGUUUCAUGUUUUGUUUAAUGUUCAUUUUUGUUUAUUGAAUUUCAUUCAGCUGUAUUAAUCAUACUUUAUUAUUUGUGCAUUUCUAUAUAUUUGCUGUUUUGUUAACUGUUCACUGGAAUAUGAUUUUCUGGUUCAUCUUAUUGUCUUUGUGUGGAUUCAUGUUGAAGAUUUGCUUUUCUUAAUAUGUGUACAUCUCAAUGCAUAUAAUGGUAUCUUUUUAUACACUGUAUUAUUUUUAUAUUUUCCUACGAUCAUUUACAUUUGACAUCAACAUUUUAUUUUGUGACAGCCAUAAAGGUGUGGACUAUAUGAGUCAAUGUAAUCAUAAGCUUAAAGGCUACUGGGUGGGUCUGGUGUUUUGUCUGAUCUCACACAGGAUUAUACACCUGUGUGUUGGCAACACCCCUGGAUUAGACCUACAGCAUGGACACACACCAAUAUCAUUGGAUUAACAGAGAUUAGGUCUAAACUCACUGUUGAUGCUGUAAUACCUUCUUGUCAUGACUCAGAUGUCUCGUUCUGCAAUGGCUGAUGGCAGAAGCAAGAUAGCCUACACCUUAGUCAGCAUUAAAUGCUAAUCAUUCUUCUUACAGUAAACUCAAGCACACUGGUAUUCUAGAAUAUCAACAACAACAAUCUUAAAGGCGCAGUGCAGUCAAACUCAAACUCAAUUUUACUGUGUUUUAUAUUUCCACACUAUGAUUUUGGAAUAAUACUGUGAAAUUGUGAAAAUUAUGAUGAUGUCCUUUUAGUGAAAAAGCUGUUUGAAAAGACCACCUGAAAUUUCUGCCUGUUUUGGUGGGAUAGAGGUUUGCCAUGCCUGGUGACAUCAGCAGGUGGUAAAUUACUGAAUAGAAAAUAAGAAAGAGAGUUCCAUACGUCUCUGCCAAUAACAGCUAGUUUUCAGGUUCUCCUCCACGCUCAGACCACUCCAAGACAGUCCUAGCUAAAUUCUUUCUGGAGAAAUUGCUCUUUGCGAGGAAGCAAUUUUUAUUGAAAGAAAUCACAGUAAAGUCAUUAUUUGUUACCCAUAAAUGAUUUGAUUAUUGAGAUAACAAUGCCUGCAUUGGAUGUUUAAAAUACUCCACAAUCAAUUUAGGCUAAAGGAUCUUAAAUAGACUCAUAACUCUGCUUAACCCUGAUGAACAUCUUGACAGAAACGUGAUAAGAUCUAAUUAAUUGUUUUUAGAGAAUUCUAGAAAUACCAGUGUCCUAGAGUUGCUUUUCAACUACUGUAUAUAGUGUACGUUUUUCCUCCAUGCACCUGAAACUAUGUAAGGAGUGCAGACUACCCUCUUUCUUGCUUAUGACUUUCAGUGAUGUCCGUAUGUUAAAUCAAAGUAUGAUCAAGUGUAAUCAAUACCAUGAUCAGAAACAGACGAUAUAGUGACUUCAUGUCUUAUUAAGGCCAGGCACCAAAGGCUGAAAUUACAUUUUUGCAUUUACCUUGAUUUUUUAUUUUGGUCCGAAAAGUAAAUAUAAAAAUGUCAAAAACUUGA